CCCACAUCACACAUUGCCCAUUUUUCCCCUCACGGCCCCGGCCGGUGUCCGUCCCCCGACCCCCCCCCCGACCCCCGGGGCGGCUGCGGAGAAAGGCGGCAGCAGCGGCGGGAGUAGGAGACCAACUUGCUACCAGUUUUCACAUCGUCAGUAAGAACAGUACAUCCCAGGAGUGGUGACGUCCCUGAGCAAGUCACUAUGCUACUGGCUAUAGAGCAGAAGGGAAGAUUUACUGAAGCAAUAUUUUGAAAUGUUACUGUGAGAAAACAAUGGAAUUAUCACAAAAUGGAAUUUCACACUCCCAGCAACCCCCCACCAGAGAAUGGACUGACAAACAGCGUGCAAUGGAAAGCAAGAAUACAAGUUCUGCUCUACAAGUUUCACAACCAGUCCUCUCAUACCUACCAUGAAUACAUCUAACCUACUAAACUUUGUGACAGCAGUUCAACAAAGUCAUGUUUUGCAGCAAAAAUAAAAAAAAAAGUUUAGCAGAUUUUUCUUUUAAAAAAAGUCUGCAAUAUUCUGACUAAUUCUGAGUGGGAUUUUUUUUUUUUAAAAAAGAAAAAAUGUAUUAAAUAACUUCAACAAGCAAACAAAAUCAUAAGCUACAAAGAUAAACUGGUCUUGCUGCCUAGCAUUUUAACCAGUAGAAGCUUUACAGUCAACUCCCAAAACUAUCAACAAACAUCUACAAUCUUAAUUCAUGUUUUUGAUCUGAUGAAAACAUCAUGGCAAAUGUUUGACAGUGAAGAAGUAUGAGAAGGGAGGAAGUAUAGCAGGAGGGAUAUGUAAUAAAAGCGAACAGAAAAAUGAUCAAAAUGUGACCAACAGAUUUUCUGAAAAUGCAGAAAAGAAAGUAACCAUCCUGUCUGGGACAAAGACAUCUGGAAGCAAUAGGGACAAAAACAGGGGAAGGGGAAAAAAAACAAAAAAGUGUAAAAGAAGGGGAGACUCUCAUCCAGCAAAACAUUUGCACAUAUCUCAGUGCAAAUCAAAGUCUAAAGAUAAACCUGAACUUGAGUGCAUUGCUGGAUUUAGAGGAGGGGAAAACAAUAGCAAGAGAUAACAAUGCUUUAGUAAGUAACUACCAACAGCUUGCUGUUUUCAAGAAAACAUGUUUCUUUUAACUGCCAUUUCAGAGCCUUCUAGCUAAGCCUGAGCUUUUGGGCUGUAGAAUGCUACUGAAGAGGACACAGCAACUCUUGCCAGACUAAUUGCUUUACAACAGACCACCUAAGAUCAGAAGAGACCAUUUUCAGUCAACUGGUCCCUAACAUAGCCCUUGUGAAUUUUGUAAAUGUAAAUGAAGAGUUUCGGAGAGACCAUUUUGUCUGGGAGAGGUCACUGGUACCUGGUCCCUAGGCGUGGCCUGUGUGGGUUUAUUUAUCCCCACUAAAAACUGGUUUGCCUAUGGAAAGCACCAUUUUACGACUGAACUUAGGGAGAAAAACCACAAUAGGAAUGUCCUUAGGACAUUUGGGGUGAGGAACUUUUAUAAACUUAUU